rnacentral:rRNA from 1 species
AGAGUUUGAUCCUGGCCAAGUCGUAACAAGGUAGGAUCCUGGCCAAGUCGUAACAAGGUACGGGUGAGUAAUGUCUGGGAAACUGCCUGAUGGAGGGGGAUAACUACUGGAAACGGUAGCUAAUACCGCAUAACGUCGCAAGACCAAAGAGGGGGACCUUCGGGCCUCUUGCCAUCGGAUGUGCCCAGAUGGGAUUAGCUAGUAGGUGGGGUAACGGCGUCACCUAGGCGACGAUCCCUAGCUGGUCUGAGAGGAUGACCAGCCACACUGGAACUGAGACACGGUCCAGACUCCUACGGGAGGCAGCAGUGGGGAAUAUUGCACAAUGGGCGCAAGCCUGAUGCAGCCAUGCCGCGUGUAUGAAGAAGGCCUUCGGGUUGUAAAGUACUUUCAGCGGGGAGGAAGGGAGUAAAGUUAAUACCUUUGCUCAUUGACGUUACCCGCAGAAGAAGCACCGGCUAACUCCGUGCCAGCAGCCGCGGUAAUACGGAGGGUGCAAGCGUUAAUCGGAAUUACUGGGCGUAAAGCGCACGCAGGCGGUUUGUUAAGUCAGAUGUGAAAUCCCCGGGCUCAACCUGGGAACUGCAUCUGAUACUGGCAAGCUUGAGUCUCGUAGAGGGGGGUAGAAUUCCAGGUGUAGCGGUGAAAU